rnacentral:rRNA from 1 species
GGUCAAGCUACAAAGGGCACAUGGUGGAUGCCUUGGCGCCAAGAGCCGAUGAAGGACGUGGUAAGCUGCGAAAAGCCUCGGGGAGCCGCAAGCAGGCUUUGAUCCGGGGAUAUCCGAAUGGGGCAACCCACACGGGGUAAUGCCCGUGUAUCCGCACCUGAAUUCAUAGGGUGCUGGAAGGGAACCGGGGGAACUGAAACAUCUCAGUACCCCGAGGAAGAGAAAUCAGUUCGAGAUUCCCCAAGUAGCGGCGAGCGAACGGGGAAGAGCCUAAACCUGGCACGUGCAAGCCUACCGGCGUUGCGUGCGAGGGGUUGAAGGAGUUACAGCGGGUGGCGGUAGCCAUCCGGCGGGAAGAACUUGUACUAGCCGAAGUGGCCUGGAACGGCCCACCGCAGGAAGUGAGAGUCUUGUAGGCGAAAGUAUGAGCUAACCGUGGUAACCACCUGAGUACCACGGGGCACGAGAAACCCCGUGGGAAGCUGGGAGGACCACCUUCCAAGGCUAAAUACUGCUUGGCGACCGAUAGUGAACCAGUACCGUGAGGGAAAGGUGAAAAGCACCCCGGGAGGGGAGUGAAAGAGCACCUGAAACCGUGUGCUUACAAACUGUGGGAGGGCUAUUGCAAUCAGCCUGACCGCGUACUUUUUGUAGAACGAACCGGCGAGUUACCGUAGGUGGCAAGGUUAAGUGGAUUAACCACGCAGCCGCAGCGAAAGCGAGUCUGAAGAGGGCAUUAAGUUGCCUGCGGUAGACCCGAAACCGGGUGAGCUAUCCAUGGCCAGGGUGAAGCGGAGGUAAAACUCUGUGGAGGCCCGAACCACAUUGACGUUGAAAAGUCAUGGGAUGAGCUGUGGAUAGGGGUGAAAUGCCAAUCGAACCCGGAGAUAGCUGGUUCUCCCCGAAAUAGCUUUAGGGCUAGCCUCAAGGCGAGGUUUGUGGUGGUAGAGCACUGAUUGGGCUAGGGGCCCAACAAGGUUACUGAACCCAUUCAAACUCCGAAUGCUGCAAACUAUCCUUGGGAGUCAGACUGUGGGGGAUAAGCUUCAUAGUCAAAAGGGAAACAGCCCAGACCGUCAGCUAAGGUCCCCAAAGCAGGCUAAGUGGUAAAGGAUGUGGGAUUGCUCAGACAACCAGGAUGUUGGCUUAGAAGCAGCCAUUCAUUCAAAGAGUGCGUAAUAGCUCACUGGUCGAGUGAUUCUGCGCCGAAAAUGUAACGGGGCUCAAGCCUGCUACCGAAGCUGCGGAUUUGACGCGCAAGUGUCAAGUGGUAGGGGAGCGUUGUGUUGACCUGCGAAGCCGUACCGAAAGGAGCGGUGGAGGAGACACAAGAGAGAAUGCCGGUAUAAGUAGCGAAAAGGCAGGUGAGAAUCCUGCCCGCCGAAAACCUAAGGUUUCCUGAGGAAGGUUCGUCCACUCAGGGUAAGUCGGGACCUAAGUCGAGGCCCAAAGGCGUAGACGAUGGACAACCGGUGGAAAAUCCGGUACUGCCUGAAAGCGCUAAGAGCAAUGGGGUGACGCGGAAGGGAAGGUCAGCACGGAGAUGGAAGGCCGUGUCCAAGCGGGUAGGAAAUUCUGGCCGGCAAACCCGCCAGGGUAUAUUCCGAGACGUGAUGGGGAGCGAAAUUAAGUAGUGAACUGACCAGCACCCAGGCUGCCAAGAAAAGCCUCUAGCAAGCAAUCGGGCACCCGUACCGCAAACCGACACAGGUAGGUGGGGAGAGAAUCCUAAGGCGCGCGAGAUAACCCUCGUUAAGGAACUCGGCAAAAUGACUCCGUAACUUCGGGAGAAGGAGUGCUGCAGUAGGGUGAGUAAUAGACAUUAUCAGCCCGAACCAGCCGCAGAAAGCAGGCCCAAGCGACUGUUUAACAAAAACACAGGUCUCUGCCAAGUCGCAAGACGAAGUAUAGGGGCUGACGCCUGCCCGGUGCUGGAAGGUUAAGGGGAAAGGUCAGCGCAAGCGAAGCUUUGAACCGAAGCCCCAGUGAACGGCGGCCGUAACUAUAACGGUCCUAAGGUAGCGAAAUUCCUUGUCGGGUAAGUUCCGACCUGCACGAAUGGCGUAACGACUUGGGCACUGUCUCAACGAGGGACUCGGCGAAAUUGUAGUACCUGUGAAGAUACAGGUUACCCGCAACCAGACGGAAAGACCCCAUGGAGCUUUACUCUAGCCUGGUAUUGAGUUUUGGUGCCAAAUGUACAGGAUAGGUGGGAGGCUAAGAAGCCGGGACGUCAGUCUCGGUGGAGCCGACGGUGGGAUACCACUCUUUUGGUACUGGAGUUCUAACCCGUGGCCAUCAUCUGGCCAGGGGACCGUACCAGGUGGGGAGUUUGACUGGGGCGGUCGCCUCCCAAAAGGUAACGGAGGCGCCCAAAGGUUCCCUCCGCGCGGUUGGAAAUCGCGCUGAGAGUGUAAAGGCACAAGGGAGCUUGACUGCGAGACAAACAAAUCGAGCAGGGACGAAAGUCGGGCUUAGUGAUCCGGUGGCCCCGGGUGGAAGGGCCAUCGCUCAACGGAUAAAAGCUACCCUGGGGAUAACAGGCUUAUCUCCCCCAAGAGUCCACAUCGACGGGGAGGUUUGGCACCUCGAUGUCGGCUCGUCGCAUCCUGGGGCUGUAGUAGGUCCCAAGGGUUGGGCUGUUCGCCCAUUAAAGCGGUACGCGAGCUGGGUUCAGAACGUCGUGAGACAGUUCGGUCCCUAUCUGUUGCGGGCGUAGGAGAUUUGCGAGGAGCUGUCCCUAGUACGAGAGGACCGGGAUGGACGCACCGCUGGUGUACCAGUUGUCCCGCCCGGGGCAAGGCUGGAUAGCUAAGUGCGGAACGGAGAAGCGCUGAAGGCAUCUAAGCGCGAAACCAGCCUCAAGAUGAGAUCUCCCAUGGCCAAAGCCAGUAAGACCCCUUAUAGAUGAUGAGGUUGAUAGGCCGGAGGUAUAAGGCGCGUGAGCGCUUGAGCUCACCGGUACUAAUUGGUCGAGGGUUUGACCUG